rfam:Triticum aestivum genome assembly, contig: Triticum_aestivum_CS42_TGACv1_scaffold_526431_6DL
UUCAUACUCCCUCCGUCCGAAAAUACUUGUCAUCAACAUGGACAAAAAGGGAUGUAUUUAGAACUAAAAUACAUCUAGAUACAUCCCCUUUUAUUCAUUUUGAUGACAAGUAUUUCCGGACGGAGGGAGUACAUU